AGAACGAACGCUGGCGGCAGGCCUAACACAUGCAAGUCGAGCGCUGUAGCAAUACAGAGCGGCGCACGGGUGAGUAACACGUGGGAACGUGCCCUUUGGUUCGGAAUAACUCAGGGAAACUUGAGCUAAUACCGGAUGAGCCCUAACGGGGAAAGAUUUAUCGCCGAAGGAGCGGCCCGCGUUGGAUUAGCUAGUUGGUGGGGUAAAAGCCUACCAAGGCGACGAUCCAUAGCUGGUUUGAGAGAACGACCAGCCACACUGGGACUGAGACACGGCCCAGACUCCGUACGGGAGGCAGCAGGUGGGGAAUCGUUGGAACAAGUAGGGGGGAAACCCUGAUCCAGCCAUGCCGCGUGAGUGAUGGAACGGCCGUAGGGUUACGUAAAACGUCGUUUCGGGCGGGUAGAUAAGUGGACGGACCCG
rnacentral:rRNA from 1 species